CAAACUGACCUACAAAGUUUCUCUGCUACUUGGGAUAACCAUCCUCUUCUCACAGAGCAAAAUCUAACCCCCAACCAAUUGUGGGAAAUGGGCCGCAUUCAAAAUCCUAUCCCUUGCCCAGAUUUGUCAGAGGACCUCUUUGACAUUGAGACUGAAAGCCAACAGGAGGAGGUGGCUGCAGGGAUUGUAUUGCCUUCGGUGGCUUGCCCUCUCAACAGCCGAAGCCUGGAACACCUUCAACAAGUGAUUAACCCAACGGGGCCAUCACAAGACCAUGGACGAGACAUUUAUAUUUUGGUUUUGAAUUAUGUUUUGAAUGUGAACAUAGGGUAAAAUAAUAAAUUCAUUUGUACAAAUGAGAAACUGUUUAACACAUAUUUAAGCAUUUGCAGUAUAUGUUCUUUACACAUUGAACUGUUUUAAAGAUUAAACAUUAAAACAGUUGGGUACAAAA